CAUGUAUAGAAAUACUAUAAUACAAAACUACGCCUAUCACAUAACAACUGUCAUUUUUGUUUAAUUUAAUACAUCAGCUUCAGAUGGCACCAUUCAUUUGUAAUGAUUAAGAUUGUACUGAGUCAGAACUUCAAAACUAUAUAAUAAGAAAGAAAUUGUGAGCAUUAUCGAAAAAAUAUAGUAUACCCUGAAAUGUAGUUACACAGCCAGGUGAAUAUAUGAGUGUACUAUGUAGGCCGGUAGGAUUACUCCUUAUUAUGCUGACAAUGGACAUAUCUCAGAGAUAUAUUUUUACAAACCGUCAUGCCUUGUACAAGUCGGUUGACAUGCUAUUACAUGUAACUGCUGGUAAGUUAAUAUGUGCAGACAACCAUGGGCAGAUUUACUGGGGGGUUAGUACUGAGUAUAACACUCUGAGGUGUUAUAAAGUGUUCAACCCCACCAAAAUUUCACUUCGUCCCUCCUACUUUGUGUGAAAGCCUUUAACCCUAACCCCUGCCAAAGCUCAGUGGUGCUGCUUGCACCCCCACUAGAAAAUGUUUGGCCACCCCUCCUUUUAAAAAAUGAAAAUCCGCCCUUGCAGACAACAAUCCACACUGGAUUGCUAUAGGAAUAUCUUUAUAAUAUUAAGCUCUGCCACACAACAUUCCACGUUUGUUUUUAAAACGUGCAGAAAUGGCUGAAGCACAUGCAUUGCUGUAAACAUGUAGAAUAAACACUAUAAACUCAUCGCCUUUGGAAAUCACCACACAAACAAAUAAACUAAAAGUAGAUUUUGACUACUUGUAUAUAUUAUUAACUAUAAAGACGAUCACUAAGUGCAGGGUAAAUUCUGAAAUGCAUGAUAAAUUCAUGCUGAAUCUAAAUUCAUGAAAUCAUAGUGUUCUAAAUAUAAAUGCCUUCAUGUAUAUUACCAAAACGAAAUAAAGCUAUCCUUACUUGAAUUAUUGAAAAUAUUGUCCAUGUUUGCAUCAUGAAAAUAAGCUCAUAACUGUCCUUGAGAACUUGAGAAGAACUUGAUCCGUGUGCAAUACAAAAUAAAGUUUGACCGCCC